rnacentral:piRNA from 1 species
AGGAUAUGUAUAAAACCAAGAAAAAGAAG